GCCCUCUUAGGUUGAUGGCAGCGGCAGCUGGGGCUGCAGCGGCGCCGGGCUCUAGAGAGCCGCAGGAUCGGCCAGAGUGCGGAGCUGGACACCCGGGUCCCAGAUACUACAGACACCCGGAGAGGUGGCUCCUUCGCCCUGAAGCCUUCCUCGGCCCCCUACGCACUCGGGCCCCUUCCGCAGAGGAUUCGCAGCGUGAGCGCCCCGCAGCCCGCUCAGGACCAGCUAUGAGCAGACGUGUGGUUCGGCAAAGCAAGUUCCGCCAUGUGUUUGGGCAGGCAGCAAAGGCCGACCAGGCCUACGAGGACAUCCGUGUGUCCAAGGUCACAUGGGACAGCUCCUUCUGUGCCGUCAACCCCAAAUUCCUGGCCAUUAUUGUGGAGGCUGGAGGCGGGGGUGCCUUCAUCGUCCUGCCUCUGGCCAAGACAGGGCGAGUGGAUAAGAACUACCCACUGGUCACUGGGCACACUGCCCCUGUGCUGGAUAUUGACUGGUGUCCACACAAUGACAACGUUAUCGCCAGUGCCUCAGACGACACCACCAUCAUGGUGUGGCAGAUUCCAGACUAUACCCCCAUGCGCAACAUUACGGAACCUAUCAUCACACUUGAGGGCCACUCCAAGCGUGUGGGCAUCCUCUCCUGGCACCCUACUGCCAGGAAUGUCCUGCUCAGUGCAGGUGGUGACAAUGUGAUCAUCAUCUGGAAUGUGGGCACCGGGGAGGUGCUGCUGAGCCUGGAUGAUAUGCACCCAGACGUCAUCCACAGUGUGUGCUGGAACAGCAACGGUAGCCUGCUAGCCACCACCUGCAAGGACAAGACCUUGCGCAUCAUUGACCCCAGAAAAGGCCAAGUGGUGGCGGAGAGGUUUGCGGCCCACGAGGGGAUGAGGCCCAUGCGGGCCGUCUUCACGCGCCAGGGCCAUAUCUUCACCACGGGCUUCACCCGCAUGAGCCAGCGAGAGCUGGGCCUGUGGGACCCGUUUUGCUGCGUCGCGUGAAGGAUCCUGCGCUGGCGCCCCCACCUGGUGAUGCCGAGUCCCUGGGGGUGGUUUGCUGUGACUGCAUGCGGCGCGCAGCGGAACAACUUCGAGGAGCCAGUGGCACUGCAGGAGAUGGACACAAGCAACGGGGUCCUAUUGCCCUUUUACGAUCCCGACUCCAGCAUCGUCUACCUGUGUGGCAAGGGCGACAGCAGCAUUCGGUACUUUGAGAUUACCGACGAGCCGCCUUUCGUGCACUACCUGAACACGUUCAGCAGCAAAGAGCCGCAGCGGGGCAUGGGUUUCAUGCCCAAAAGGGGACUGGAUGUCAGCAAGUGUGAGAUCGCCCGGUUCUACAAGCUACACGAAAGAAAGUGUGAACCUAUCAUCAUGACUGUGCCCCGCAAGUCAGACCUCUUCCAGGACGAUCUGUACCCGGAUACGCCAGGCCCGGAGCCGGCCCUAGAAGCGGACGAAUGGCUAUCCGGCCAGGACGCCGAACCCGUGCUCAUUUCGCUGAGGGACGGCUAUGUGCCCCCCAAGCACCGCGAGCUCCGGGUCACGAAGCGCAACAUCCUGGACGUGCGCCCGCCCUCCGGCCCCCGCCGCAGCCAGUCGGCCAGCGACGCCCCCUUGUCGCAGCACACCCUGGAGACGCUGCUGGAAGAGAUCAAGGCCCUCCGCGAGCGGGUGCAGGCCCAGGAGCAGCGCAUCACGGCUCUGGAGAACAUGCUGUGCGAGCUGGUGGACGGCACGGACUAGCCCCGCGCGCCAGGCAGGCGGAGCGGGGCGGGGCGCACAAGCUCGGCCCCGCCCCGGCUUUUAGUCCCGAACUCCGGACCCCGCCUUCUUGGGCUGGGCCCGGGGGCGGGACUGGGGAGGGAACUCCGCCCCUCGCGGGAGACCAGAACUCUUGGAGCUUAGGGGAGACCCACGUCGCUCCAGCGGAGGCUGGACUGCGAGCCUCGUCUGGGACUCGGCUGGAGCUGGCCUAGGGAGGCCUGGGGUAACCUGGGGGGCUCAGCAAUGGUGCUGCACGGCGAGGUGGUGUCCCCCUUUGUCCUCCGCCCAGGGCAGGGAAAGUGCUUAGUAUUAGCGUGAUGCUUGGGGUUAUUGGAGCCUGAGCUUGACCUCAAACGGGUGGCGAUUUGAUGGGUACCCCCAGGCUGGGGAAAAUGACAGCGCUUCUCCUAAUCAGCUCACUGGAUUCCAUCACCCUGAGCGGUAAACCAGAUGGGCGUCACCCCAGUUCUGCAGACACAUACACAACCCGUUUGCUGCAGAGCCGGACCCAGUGGCUACACCCACAGCGGUCUGUGGUAGAGAACUCUCUUCCUUCUUUCCACCGACAGGGGCGAGGGCUGCUUCCUCGCGGCAGCCCCCGCGAAGAAAUCUCGAGAGAACUGGCAUGAGGAGUUAGGUUCAUCACAAAUACACACACACUGCCCCCAACCCUCUGCCGUUGCCUCUCUCAGAAAAACAAGACGUACUGAAUGAAAUAUUUUACUAAGCGUUCAGUCUGUGCCUCCUGCAUGGGUGGGAGUGAGGGGAACGAGACCCCCAGCCUCUGCAAAUGCUACCCCCAGGCUCCUGGGAGACCUGGCGAUGCACUCCUGGGCUCAGGGUCCAUCAGGCAGCCUCUUACCCUAGAGCUCUCUCCACUCUGAGGUUCAGAAGGACCCCAACCCACACCGUAGGCGUUCCCCCCAAGUAAAGUUAGGUAGCAAAAGCC